CGGCUCGUCACUUCCGGCGGGCGGGCUCUGCGGGUAAAGCUUGGUAGCUGCGGGGGUGAUCUGGGCUGGUGAUCUGGACCCCGGCAGGGAUGAAGGGUCGAGUGCCCGAGAUGCAUUCGGGAAAUGCGAGAAGCAGCCUGCAUCGCUUAUCCAGUAAAAGCAGCGGACAGCGGCUCCAUGCCGGAAUCUAGCAGGCAUCCCGCGACCUGAGGUUACCCUCGGUGACCAGGGUCUCCACUGAGUUGCUGAGAUUGUCCUUGAACUUCCAGUCCUUCUGCCUCAGCCUCCCAGGCAGUCAGGAUUACAGGCAUGUGCCACCAUGCCCAACUGUGUACAAAUAAUCUUGAGGAUUGAAAUAUGUUCAUAUUGAUAAUUUUUUCUUAUUCUAAAAUGAACCAGUUUUUUUUUUUUUUUUUUUGCUUAAUUAAACCUACAUUUCCUGGAAAGUUUUCUUAGAAAAUGCUGUAGUUAAGUCUGUCCUUCAGUCAUCCUAGAUGAAUAAAAUUUUUGCAGAUAGAUCUCAGAUAUCCAUGCAGCUUGACGUUUUCAUAGAAGAAACUGAGGUUGAGAAAGGGAAAGUGCAAGUCCUUCCAUGCUGGCUGGCAUGCAGAUGAAGUGGCUCGAUUUUGAACAACAUCUUGUACCAUGAGGAGGUUCAGCAAAGCAAGAAGAUGUGCAGAGCCUGGAGAACAACAACUUAUGAAGCUGCCAUAUGAGCCUUGGGUUGGUUAGGAAGAAAAGCUGAGAAUGCAAUUCCUGGAGCUGAGACAGCCUUCUUCCAACUAUUCGGUAACGAUCAUGAAGACAGAAAAUAUGCUGAGGAAGGCAGAGUGGAAAAAACAGCCUAGUUUCUUGAGGAAAUUGCUGAGCCAUUGCACCAAGUCAAGAACAUAUAUCUUUAGGUGUAUUGCUAUAGCAUAUUGUGAUGGAUAAGCUACUAUUUGAUGUUCCGAUCGUUGCAUCUUGGAUGAUAUGAUAGUUCCAUGAAUGGCACAAGGAGUUGAGCAACAAGGCAUCAAAUCUUAUUCAGCAGAUAACACGGAAAAACAACUAUAAUUCAGUCAGCUAUCCAAAAAAGGAUAUCAUGUUUAACAAAAAUAAAGUGAAUUUGAACAUGGUGGCUAGUUGUUGUCAUGGAUUUAGGCUGUAUUUUGGAAUACUAAUAUGGCAUGAAUCCAUAAUUGCUUAACUCAAAAAUAAAAGCCAUUCUGUGCA